AGGACCAUAGCUCAGUGGCAGAGUAUCUGCCUUGCAUGUAGAUGGUCCUAGAUUCAAUCCUGCUGCUCCUU